rnacentral:rRNA from 1 species
UGGGGAAUAUUGGACAAUGGGGGCAACCCUGAUCCAGCCAUGCCGCGUGAGUGAAGAAGGCCUUAGGGUUGUAAAGCUCUUUCAGUCGUGACGAUGAUGACGGUAGCGACAGAAGAAGCCCCGGCUAACUCCGUGCCAGCAGCCGCGGUAAUACGGAGGGGGCAAGCGUUGUUCGGAUUUUCUGGGCGUAAAGGGCGCGUAGGCGGGGUAUCAAGUUGGGGGUGAAAUCCCGGGGCUCAACCCCGGAACUGCCUCCAAAACUCCCAGUCUUGAGUUCGAGAGAGGUGAGUGGAAUUCCGAGUGUAGAGGUGAAAUUCGUAGAUAUUCGGAGGAACACCAGUGGCGAAGGCGGCUCACUGGCUCGAUACUGACGCUGAGGUGCGAAAGUGUGGGGAGCAAACAGGAUUAGAUACCCGCGUAGUCC